rnacentral:rRNA from 1 species
ACUUAAAUUGAAGAGUUUGAUCAUGGCUCAGAUUGAACGCUGGCGGCAGGCCUAACACAUGCAAGUCGAGCGGUAGCACAGAGAGCUUGCUCUCGGGUGACGAGCGGCGGACGGGUGAGUAAUGUCUGGGAAACUGCCUGAUGGAGGGGGAUAACUACUGGAAACGGUAGCUAAUACCGCAUAAUGUCGCAAGACCAAAGUGGGGGACCUUCGGGCCUCAUGCCAUCAGAUGUGCCCAGAUGGGAUUAGCUAGUAGGUGGGGUAACGGCUCACCUAGGCGACGAUCCCUAGCUGGUCUGAGAGGAUGACCAGCCACACUGGAACUGAGACACGGUCCAGACUCCUACGGGAGGCAGCAGUGGGGAAUAUUGCACAAUGGGCGCAAGCCUGAUGCAGCCAUGCCGCGUGUGUGAAGAAGGCCUUCGGGUUGUAAAGCACUUUCAGCGGGGAGGAAGGCGGUGAGGUUAAUAACCUCAUCGAUUGACGUUACCCGCAGAAGAAGCACCGGCUAACUCCGUGCCAGCAGCCGCGGUAAUACGGAGGGUGCAAGCGUUAAUCGGAAUUACUGGGCGUAAAGCGCACGCAGGCGGUCUGUCAAGUCGGAUGUGAAAUCCCCGGGCUCAACCUGGGAACUGCAUUCGAAACUGGCAGGCUAGAGUCUUGUAGAGGGGGGUAGAAUUCCAGGUGUAGCGGUGAAAUGCGUAGAGAUCUGGAGGAAUACCGGUGGCGAAGGCGGCCCCCUGGACAAAGACUGACGCUCAGGUGCGAAAGCGUGGGGAGCAAACAGGAUUAGAUACCCUGGUAGUCCACGCCGUAAACGAUGUCGAUUUGGAGGUUGUGCCCUUGAGGUGUGGCUUCCGGAGCUAACGCGUUAAAUCGACCGCCUGGGGAGUACGGCCGCAAGGUUAAAACUCAAAUGAAUUGACGGGGGCCCGCACAAGCGGUGGAGCAUGUGGUUUAAUUCGAUGCAACGCGAAGAACCUUACCUGGUCUUGACAUCCACAGAACUUUCCAGAGAUGGAUUGGUGCCUUCGGGAACUGUGAGACAGGUGCUGCAUGGCUGUCGUCAGCUCGUGUUGUGAAAUGUUGGGUUAAGUCCCGCAACGAGCGCAACCCUUAUCCUUUGUUGCCAGCGGUCCGGCCGGGAACUCAAAGGAGACUGCCAGUGAUAAACUGGAGGAAGGUGGGGAUGACGUCAAGUCAUCAUGGCCCUUACGACCAGGGCUACACACGUGCUACAAUGGCAUAUACAAAGAGAAGCGACCUCGCGAGAGCAAGCGGACCUCAUAAAGUAUGUCGUAGUCCGGAUUGGAGUCUGCAACUCGACUCCAUGAAGUCGGAAUCGCUAGUAAUCGUAGAUCAGAAUGCUACGGUGAAUACGUUCCCGGGCCUUGUACACACCGCCCGUCACACCAUGGGAGUGGGUUGCAAAAGAAGUAGGUAGCUUAACCUUCGGGAGGGCGCUUACCACUUUGUGAUUCAUGACUGGGGUGAAGUCGUAACAAGGUAACCGUAGGGGAACCUGCGGUUGGAUCACCUCCUUACCUUAAAGAA